GUCAAACAUAUGUUAAAGAAAGCAGGCAUGACUCUUGAAGGCAGUUUAGAUUUCUUAUUGUGACAAAGCUUUAACAGCAAUUGUAAGGCUUGGCUCACAGAUAAUGGAUUAGUGGGAAGAUACUUCUUUAAAAGUCACCCAGGCAGGCUGUAGGGAGACUAUCAGGUGAGGCAUACCAUAUUAUCAGUGCUAUACUGAUCUCAAU